rnacentral:rRNA from 1 species
UACGUAGGUGGCGAGCGUUGUCCGGAUUUACUGGGCGUAAAGGGCGUGCAGGCGGUUUGUUAAGUUGCAGGGUGAAAGCUCCCGGCUCAACUGGGAGAGGUCCUUGCAUACUGGCGAACUCGAGGGAGGCAGAGGAAAGUGGAAUUCCCGGUGUAGUGGUGAUAUGCGUAGAGUAUCGGGAGGAACACCUGGUGGCGAAGGCGGCUUUCUGGGCCUUACCUGACGCUGGAGAACGGCGAAAGCGUGGGGAGCGAACCGG